rnacentral:lncRNA from 1 species
UGAAAGUCACAGAAAGACUGUCCUGAAGGAAUCCCAGGAGAUUAACAUCGCCAUCUCCACCUUACAAACAAGGAAAAUGAGGCACAGGAGAUUUAAAUAAUUUCUCAGUGACAUUUAGCUAACGCAUGGCUAAGCACAACUUGGACCCACCGUUGUCUGUCUGACUCCAAAAUCUGAUUUCUUUCCCAUCAUCCUAGCUACUUCUCUGUAAUUUAUACAUUAGUCAGUUCUAGGGGCUUUAGCUUUUUCCAAAGAAGACCUAGUAGCAGAAUCUAUAGAAUCGUCAUUCACUGUCCAUACCAUGGCUUUACGAUGGCUCAGUGGCGAAAGAACUCGGCUCCGUGCCUCACAACCUGAGUGCAGUCUCUGGGACCUGCGUGGUGGAGACACAGAACAGACUUCUCCAAGUUGUCUUCUGACUUACAGGUGUGCAGCAUGGCAUAUUUGUACCCUCACAAGCAUAGAUAGGUGGACAGACACA